GGAGUGGUCCUGCUUUUUAGCAGGGGGUUGGACUAGAUGACCUCGUGAGGUCCCUUCCAGCCCUAUUAUUCUAUGACUGCUCAGCUCUGUGACUCAGUCGCACCAGAUGACACGGCGGGGAUGGGACACCCUUGGCUCAGCAGAGCCCACCUGGACAUCCCUGGGCUCCUGUCCGCGAGGCACAUGGCCAAAAGGGAAGACUUUGCUGCAGUUCCCUACGGGUCUGAAGAGGGCGGCAAAGUCCAUAUUAACCCUUUACGCCCUGUAUGCCGUCUCGUUCGUGAUGUGGACCAUCUUACUCGCCGUGGUGAUUGCGAAGUACUCGGAGAUUUCCAAGGAGCUGGAGCAGAUGCGGAGGGAUCAAUCGGUGCUCAGAGCCCACGGCUCCGAGAUGGCGAAGCAACUGGAGAUGCUGUAUUUCAACCAAUCCACCCUCCACAGCACCGAGGUGGAGCUGGCCACCGAGCUGAAGCGGCUGGAGUCGGAUCAGGAGACGCUGAGAGGGGAAGUGUCCAGGGAUCUGGCCAAAGCGAAGCAGGACAGGGAUGACAUCAGGGCCGAGACCUACAAGAUCCUCUC
rnacentral:lncRNA from 1 species